UCUGUGAGUCCACCCAAAACUCUAAAGCCACUAGGUAGUUUAUAGUCUGUGCCCCAAGCUAAAAAGCUGAAAGUGGGAAAGACGCUGCUUGUUGAAAAUCAUUUGAAAUAACAUGCCUCCUUGUCUGAGAAAAUGAAUUGAAUCAACAAUGUUGAUUGGCUCCAGUGCUUUUUACAAGUAGCACUUAAAGGAAAGCAAACAAUAUUGUAAACAGAAGAGGAGCAGUCAUAGGAAUGUAAACAAUAAGCUUUUCAAACUUCGUUGGACAAACAACCAACACACCAAUAAAUACCAGUACAACUGUACACUGAUGCAACAAAGUAUUUCCACAGCUGCACCAAGCACACUAGUAAUAUG